GCAGAGAGUGGCAGUGAGAGGCGCUACGUCGAGGAGAGCAGCCAGCCAGGUCUAGAACAAGAAGACAAGUGAAGUUAAAAAGUGGCAUUGAAAGUUUAAGCUGAGAAGAUAGACAAGUGCUCCUCAAGAAGCCCCUCACUUGGGUCGCCCAACAAUAGUUGCCACAAAAGAAGCCAUGAAGAAAAUUUGUGACAUAUUUAUUGGUUAAUUAAGACAGAGCCUAUGCAAAAUAGCUGUGUUCACAGUGUAAGACAAUUUUAAAAGAUGGCUUUUAACCAUGAGAAAAUUGUCAGCACCAUGGCUUCCCAAAAUGUUGUCUGUAGAACAGACAGUGGGUGGUCAGUUUCACAAGAACGUCUGACAAGAAAAUAAAGGUAACCUAAAGAUUUCUAUAGUUGAUUUAUCACUGUAGUUGUGGAUACACCACUCUUAUCCUGAUACAACAGCACAAUCUAAAAUGUGGAACUACGGUUGAUCUCCUACCGCUUGGAAAUGUAACAUCCAAGUGCUGGCAAACGUUUGGAAUCUGUGAUUUGGGAUGCAUAGGGAAUUUAGAUGAUUGACAGCUUGCAGCAUGGAGAGACCAUAACAGGUAACUACUGAACCAAAUUGAAUGGAAAUUAAUGCAAAGCAAUUAAAGGAUAGAGAUAUGGAAAGCUUAGAAAGUGCUGUUGAUCCAAGACAAUGUUCAAAUGCACAAGUCUUUGUUCACCACUGCUGAAGCUGGAUUCAAAUUUCUGGAUCAACCCCCAUAUUCACCAGACCUUGUCCCCAGUGACUUUUACCAGUUCCCAUGUUUGAAAGAUUACUUGCAAAUAAUACAGAGAAGGUGGCUGUUUGUGACUCGCUACACAGUCAAGAAUAACCUUUGUUUUUAGAAGGCAUAAAACAUUGUUUGCAGGAGUGUGUUGAGCUUAAGGGGGAUUACAUUAAAAAUAAAAAGAUAAAAUAAUA